UAUUUGAGAUGAUAUUUAUCCACGUAAUUAGUAUGUGUCCCAGAUAAUUGUUUAAUAUUUAUGCCACUGUGUGUAUAACAAUGUUUUUUAAAAAAAUAAGCACAUGUGUAUUGAUAUUGAUAUUAAUUCUGUUAAUGGAGAGUCUAAGUGUCACAUCUCACGUCGUCUGACACAUUAUACGUGACUAGGUCGUGAAGACAUUUAUUAGUUAAGGAAAUUUUGAUGCAUCAUGUAGAGUACAUACAACGAGAAAAGCUAACCAGGGUGAAGUGUGUAUUACCGGAUGUGAGUUGAUGCUUUCCGAAUACAGACAAGAUAUAUUAGGACGGGUGUCAUCUUUAUGAGUGAGUAAACAAAGUAAUUAGCGGACUGAUAAGAUACUUGUCGGCUGGCUGGUUAAGUAGUUUUAUUUUAUUUGUAGAUAUACAGCAUGGAAACGUCGUGAUCAGGCGGUGGGUUACCAAUACAAGACACGUUGUGUCACUAAAAUUGUUGGUACGACCUAUCGUUAAAACUUUCGCUGUGCUGGAACAGCUCAGAGUUUUAGUACCGAUAACAAAAUCAACAUAGAAGUUUAUAAUUGCAGUAAUAAUUUAUUUUCUGUAAUGUAAUUGCGGAAAAAUAUUUGCUGCUUUGUAUUUUACAAGUUUUAAAAAGGAGUUUUAUUUCUUCACUGAGAAAAAAAAUUUAUUUUUAGA